rnacentral:tRNA from 1 species
GGGGGAAUGGUGUAACGGCAACAUUUCAGUCUCCAAAACUGACGUUCUAGGUUCAAAUCCUAGUUCCCUCG